rnacentral:piRNA from 1 species
UGCGUAGGGCUAGUGCUGUGUUAUUCAA